CCUACGGGUGGCUGCAGUGGGGAAUAUUGGACAAUGGGCGAAAGCCUGAUCCAGCCAUGCCGCGUGUGUGAAGAAGGCCUUCGGGUUGUAAAGCACUUUCAGUGGGGAAGAAAGCCUUGGGGCUAAUACCCUCGAGGAAGGACAUCACCCACAGAAGAAGCACCGGCUAACUCCGUGCCAGCAGCCGCGGUAAUACGGAGGGUGCGAGCGUUAAUCGGAAUUACUGGGCGUAGAGCGCGCGUAGGCGGUCUGAUAAGCCGGUUGUGAAAGCCCCGGGCUCAACCUGGGAACGGCAUCCGGAACUGGCAGGCUAGAGUGCAGGAGAGGAAGGUAGAAUUCCCGGUGUAGCGGUGAAAUGCGUAGAGAUCGGGAGGAAUACCAGUGGCGAAGGCGGCCUUCUGGACUGACACUGACGCUGAGGUGCGAAAGCGUGGGUAGCAAACAGGAUUAGAUACCCGAGUAGUC
rnacentral:rRNA from 1 species